GACGAACGCUGGCGGCGUGCUUAACACAUGCAAGUCGAACGGAAAGGCCCUGCUUGCAGGGUACUCGAGUGGCGAACGGGUGAGUAACACGUGGGUGAUCUGCCCUGCACUUCGGGAUAAGCCUGGGAAACUGGGUCUAAUACCGGAUAGGAGCCAUUUUUAGUGUGAUGGUUGGAAAGUUUUUUCGGUGUAGGAUGAGCUCGCGGCCUAUCAGCUUGUUGGUGGGGUAAUGGCCUACCAAGGCGGCGACGGGUAGCCGGCCUGAGAGGGUGGACGGCCACAUUGGGACUGAGAUACGGCCCAGACUCCUACGGGAGGCAGCAGUGGGGAAUAUUGCACAAUGGGCGCAAGCCGGAUGCAGCGACGCCGCGUGGGGGAUGACGGCCUUCGGGUUGUAAACUCCUUUCGCUAGGGACGAAGCUUUUGUGACGGUACCUAGAUAAGAAGCACCGGCUAACUACGU
rnacentral:rRNA from 1 species